rnacentral:rRNA from 1 species
AGUGAACGCUGGCGGCAGGCCUAACACAUGCAAGUCGAGCGGCAGCGCGUCCGACCACCCUCGGGUGGUCGGAUGGCGGCGAGCGGCGGACGGGUGAGGAAUGCAUCGGAAUCUGCCUCGUUGUGGGGGAUAACGUAGGGAAACUUACGCUAAUACCGCAUACGACCUACGGGUGAAAGUGGGGGACCUUCGGCCGUCACGCGAUGAGAUGAGCCGAUGCCGGAUUAGCUAGUUGGCGGGGUAAAGGCCACCAAGGCGACGAUCCGUAGCUGGUCUGAGAGGAUGAUCAGCCACACUGGAACUGAGACACGGUCCAGACUCCUACGGGAGGCAGCAGUGGGGAAGUAUUGGACAAUGGGGGCGAACCCUGAUCCAGCCAUGCCGCGUGUGUGAAGAA